ACCAAACUGCGAGGACUCUGCAAGCUCCAAUUCCAACUGUGCAACUGAAAUGCAGAAGCUCCUUGAAUUAUUUGGGGGGUGAUUUCUGCUCCUCCUGCCCUGGAAACAUCCCUGGCCCAGCAGGUUGGCCCGGGGUGGAAGGGAGGCUUUGACAGGCACUGGCUCCAGCUGACACAUCCCGUUGCUGCUCGAGAAUGUUUGGGAAGUGUCCCUAAAUCCCAGCUGGAGCGAUGAGUAUAUUUGGAGUUGACACACAAUGUGCUCUGUGUUUGCCUUGGCUGAGCCAGCUGGGAUGGGAGGAAGAUGCUCUCCAAGGCAGGGCUUUACUUUGGGGCUUUCCCUGCUGCUAAUUCCAAGCCUGUGCUCAUCCAGGAGCAAAAUUUGUCUCUGUCUAAUUAGGGGGAAGACAAGGUACCAACCGUGCUUGGGAAAAUUAAUCUGCCGUGCUGAUAAGAGAAAGGAUUAGGUCGUUAUUGGGGAAAAAUAAUUUAAACUCAGAGCUUAAAGCCCUGCAAGGAAGGCAGGAAUUCUAAUGGGAUUUUUCAGUGGGGUGGGAAAGCUUCAGGUGACAGGAAAGGGAUGCACAGAGGAACUGCUUGAAAAGGGACACGGGAAGGAUUCCAAAAGUUGAGGGAUACAAUUGCAGAGCUUGGGAAGUGCUUGGAAAGGGUUUGGAACAUGGGGUGGCACAAAUCAGCUGGGAGGAGUGUGGAGAAAAUUAUGGAGAAAUGAAGGAAAAGCAAAGGGGAGGGCAGCCUCCAAAUGAGAUUUUAAAUUGAAAUAAGAAGAGAACACACAGCUGCUCCAGGGGGAAUUCCCAGUCUCUCAUUUUCCCAGUUUUCUCCCCAUCACAGGCACAUUGCCUUUUGUGGGUGUCACCGAGGUUCACCCAGAGAUGCCAUGAGCUGCUCUGCAGGGAAAAUGCUCCAACCCUUCAGAAACACAGGAGAAAGAAAAGCAGGAAUCAUCAAAGAGGAGUUCUCCCUCUCCUGAUGCCCCGGGUGACAUUUCCCUCCCUCCCUGGGGUUGAAGAUAAGGCCCAGGCAGUGAUUUUCUGACAGCUCUGAAACACCUUUCCCUGCCUGUACAGCACCAGCCAGCUUUUCCCACCUUUCCCCAUUAUUGGCUGCCAGUUUUUCUCCUCUCCUGGAGAACGAGGCAGCCUCGUGCUCCUUCAAAUCAAGUAUUAUUGGAGCCCCUGCAAAUAGAAACCCUCUGGCUCUGGCUGGGCUCUUGCAAAACCAGUGGGAGGCUGGGAACCUCCCCGCUCUGGAGCGCUUGUAAAAUGUUUGAAAAGGAGAAUUAUAGGGGAAAAAAAGCCCUGGAUGUACUGAAAUAGCCACCCACAGGCUCCCUGAGCACAAUAACUGGAUGCACUAAGUCAUUCCCAAGACAGUUUUGGGCGAGUUUCUGCUGGGAUAAUUUGGAGAUAAGGGGAAAUGAUUCAAUCACCUGUUUUGUUUUUUUUGCCUUAACCCGGCCAAAACAAAGAAUAGGGAAUAAUGGUUUGUCCAAAUGAUCCAAAAAGGAUCAAGGGAAAUGCGCAGGGUGGCCUGAAAUCCAUCAUUUCCUCCAGGGUGAAUCACAGCCUGCACUCAGCAAGGCUGAAAUAUCUGGGAGAGGUUCUGCCAGCCAAAGAGGCAAAUCCCAGUCGUAAAUUCCUCCUAUUUGGAUACUUCCAGCUAUUUUCCAACCUUCAUUAGACAAAUAACAACAAUUCCUGCAGCUCUCUGUUGCUCCCUGCCUCACACUGGGCUGGAUCAUCAUUAAAGCAUCUUUUGUUUUUCGCCUGCCAGUGCCACAGGACUGGGCUGGGAUUUGCCAAGCACCAAGCAGGACAGAUAAGAGCAACUAAAAUAAUUGGGAUUUAAUUCCCAGAAGCAGUGAAGUACCUUGUAAAGAGCAGUGCUUCACAGGAUUUUCCCAUAUGGAAACAAGACAAGACUACAGAGACAUUGAGGGGCUGGAGCGAGUCCAGGGAAGGGAACGGAGCUGGGGAAGGGGCUGGAGAAUUGUGCUAAUAAUUGUUUUGGCUGUUCCCCUGGAAUGAGUGGGUUUGGUUUGUGGGGUUUCUUUUGUUUGUUUUGUUUUGGUUUUGGGGUGUUUGUUUUGUUUGUUUGUUUUUUGGGGGAUUUUUUUUUUGUUUUGUUUUCCAGCACAAUGUCUUGCACUUAAAGUGGUUAUAUUAUGGAAUUGUUAUUUUUUCACACAGAAAAAAUAGUUGUGCCAGCUGGAGGUUGGGACUUGGGAUUGACAUCCCUGCAGCCCCUCGGGAUGGUUUUCCAGGGAAGAUUUCACACCAAUUCCAACCCCUUGUAACCAAACCCUGCUGCCCAGACACCAUCACCUUCCUCAGGAUCACGACUCUGAUGCCUUCACCACUCAGAAUGGUGUGAGGAUGGAUCUCAGGAGGAUAUUCCAUCAUUCCUGCCCGUGGAUCCAGGCUCUGCUCCGCUCCAUGCCCAGCCUGCAGGAAUGUAGGUCUCUGCAGCAGCUGUGAGAGCACUCAUUUCUACCAGCUCUGUAAAUAUAGAGCUCUUUGCUCUCCUUUCAUCCUGCAUGAAAAGAUCUGUGCAGAGCCAACGUGGGAAUGACGUGUGAGCAGGGCCAGGAGGAGCCCUCGGAAUUAACUGGAGCUUCUCCCUGGGGCCGGCCCCAAAUCCCAGCCUGGCCUUGAAAAAACUCCCGUCCCAAAUACAGAUCUGGGCUCUGCCUAUUCAGGUCAGCUCUGGGGCCUAAAUAAUUCUGUUUCAAACGA